rnacentral:lncRNA from 10 species
GCUGACUACAGAUCAAGAGUUCAGCAAAAAAUUAGCAAUAAUAUUCUGCGUGAAUCAGUUGGCUAUACGGGAUUUAUUCUUUAUAGAAUAAAGAAUAUUAUAUAAUUUAUUAUUACCUGUAAAUUAUUGUAUCGUCACAAAAACUGAUACUUAUUUAUGUUUAUAUAUAAUAUACAAUUUUUUUCAGGAGAAUCAGGAAACAUUUACCAGUGCAUGGCUGGUUACAACACAUUUCCAGGCAUGAUGGGAUCCAACUUAAAAAAUGGGUAACGUUUUUCAAAGUUUUCCCCAAAUGCAACAACCCCAUUAGAAUUAUCAUAAACUGGCCAGACGAGGUGGCUCACACCUGUAAUCCCAGCAUUUUGGGAGGCCGAGGUGGGCAGAUCACCUGAGGUCAGGAGUUUGAGACCAGCCUGGCCUAUAUGGUGAAACCCUGCCUCUACUAAAAAUACAAAAAUUAGCCGGGCAUGAAGGUGCAUGCCUGUAAUCCCAGCUACUCAGGGGGCUGAGGCAGGAGAAUCACUUGAACCUAGGAGGCAGAGGUUGCAGUGAGCCAAGAUCGCAUCAUUGCACUCCAACCUGGAUGACAGGAGCCAAACUCUGUCUCAAAAAAGAAAAGAAGAAGAAGAAAAAAAGAACUAUCAUAAAUUAUUUUCAAGACCCAGAAACAAAAUGUUGGCAGCAUAGAGAGUAAGCGGGACUGGCACCAGGUGGAAAAAGUAAGUUCCAUUUAUCUCCAUCUGCCAGUAGAAACAAAUUCAUUCUCUCCACCCAGAGGAGCAGUCUGCAGUGUAUUAUUAUUAUUAUUAUUUUUUUCAAGACGGAGUCUUGCUCUGUGGCUCAGGCUGGAGUGCAGUGACACCGUCUUGGCGCUCACUGCAACCUCCACCCCCGAGGUUUAAGCGAUUCUCCUUCCUCAGCCUCUGGAGUAGCUAGGAUUACAAGCACAGGCCACCACACCUCUCUUUGGGGGUUUUGGCUGGCAUGGCCUUGGUGGGGGGGUUGGG